rnacentral:rRNA from 1 species
AGGACGAACGCUGGCGGCGUGCUUAACACAUGCAAGUCGAGCGGGAAAGGCCCUUCGGGGUACGUCGAGCGGCGAACGGGUGAGUAACACGUGAGCAACCUGCCCCUGGCUCUGGGAUAGCCUCCGGAAACGGGGAUUAAUACCGGACAUUCACUUCCUUCCGCAUGGUUGGUGGUGGAAAGUUUUUUCGGCCGGGGAGGGGCUCGCGGCCUAUCAGCUUGUUGGCGGGGUAACGGCCCACCAAGGCGACGACGGGUAGCC